rnacentral:tRNA from 1 species
GCGCUGGUAGUAUAGCGGUUAGUAUGCUUCGUUGCCAACGAAGCGACCCGGGUUCAAAUCCCGGCUAGCGCA